UGGGGAAUUUUGGACAAUGGGCGCAAGCCUGAUCCAGCCAUUCCGCGUGCAGGACGAAGGCCUUCGGGUUGUAAACUGCUUUUGUACGGAACGAAAAGCCCUUCUCUAAUACAGAGGGGUCAUGACGGUACCGUAAGAAUAAGCACCGGCUAACUACGUGUCAGCAGCCGCGGUAAUACGUAGGGUGCAAGCGUUAAUCGGAAUUACUGGGCGUAAAGCGUGCGCAGGCGGUGAUGUAAGACAGAUGUGAAAUCCCCGGGCUCAACCUGGGAAUUGCGUUUGUGACUGCAUCACUCGAGUACGGCAGAGGGAGGUGGAAUUCCGCGUGUAGCAGUGAAAUGCGUAGAUAUGCGGAGGAACACCGAUGGCGAAGGCAAUCCCCUGGGCCUGCACUGACGCUCAUGCACUAAAGCGUGGGGAGCAAACA
rnacentral:rRNA from 1 species